GAUGAAGAACGCAGCGAAAUGCGAUAAGUAGUGUGAAUUGCAGAAUUCAGUGAAUCAUCGAAUCUUUGAACGCACAUUGCGCCCCUUGGUAUUCCAUGGGGCAUGCCUGUUCGAGCGUCAUUUGUACCUUCAAGCUUUGCUUGGUGUUGGGUGUUUGUCCCUCGGGACUCGCCUUAAAGUCAUUGGCAGCCAGUGUUUUGGUUUUGAAGCGCAGCACAAGUCGUGAUUCAAGGCUAUCCGCCCGCUUCCACAAGCCUUUUUCACUUUUGACCUCGGAUCAGGUAGGGAUACCCGCUGAACUUAAGCAUAUCAAUAAGCGGAGGA
rnacentral:misc_RNA from 1 species